rnacentral:rRNA from 1 species
AGUAGUUUGAUCAGUGGCUCGAGGACGACGCUGGCGGCGUGCUUAACACAUGCAAGUCGAACGGGGCUAUUAGAAGCUUGCUUUUAAGAGCCUAGUGGCAAACGGGUGAGUAACGCGUAGGCAACCUGCCUCUAAGAUGGGGACAACAGUCCGAAAGGACUGCUAAUACCGAAUGUUGUGAGUUUUCCGCAUGGGAGACUCAUUAAAGAUGGCCUCUACUUGUAAGCUAUCACUUAGAGAUGGGCCUGCGUCUGAUUAGCUAGUUGGUGGGGUAACGGCCCACCAAGGCGACGAUCAGUAGCCGGUCUGAGAGGAUGAACGGCCACAUUGGGACUGAGACACGGCCCAGACUCC